GCCAGACUCCUACGGGAGGCAGCAGUGAGGAAUAUUGGUCAAUGGUCGGGAGACUGAACCAGCCAAGUCGCGUGAGGGACUAAGGCCCUGCGGGUCGUAAACCUCUUUUGCCGGGGAGCAGUGGUCCGGACGCGUCCGGACCGGGAGAGUACCCGGAGAAAAAGCAUCGGCUAACUCCGUGCCAGCAGCCGCGGUAAUACGGAGGAUGCGAGCGUUAUCCGGAUUUAUUGGGUUUAAAGGGUGCGUAGGCGGAAUAUCAAGUCAGCGGUAAAAAUUCGGGGCUCAACCCCGUCGUGCCGUUGAAACUGAUGUUCUUGAGUGGGCGAGAAGUAUGCGGAAUGCGUGGUGUAGCGGUGAAAUGCAUAGAUAUCACGCAGAACUCCGAUUGCGAAGGCAGCAUACCGGCGCCCAACUGACGCUGAAGCACGAAAGCGUGGGUAUCGAACAGGAUUAGAUACCCCUGUAC
rnacentral:rRNA from 1 species